GGAUGGCGUGAGUGUUCAUAUAUAGAAGGAAAGAAACUGGGUGGCGUGAGUAACUCAAGUGUAUGAAGAGUGGACGUGUUACUUGAAGCUCAUACUUCACCGAGAAGCGUGUCCUCGGUCAAAAGAGAUCUUAGCGAAAAAAGAGCGACUUUUCUGGAGCAAAUUUAAAGUAUCGCAUGAUGACUUCACUGACCUGUGGCAACCCUGUAUAAAGACCUCAAUCAGCACAUCACCAGCUUACGAGCACCUAAUUAUUACUAAAUUAAUAUAAAGAUCAAGGACACGUCCAAAGGGAUCUAUAAAGAUUCUUUCUAAAUGUAAUCGAAAAUAGAAUUCCCCCGCAUCCCCAACUGACAUAAAAUUCCACAUGGAUGGUUCGAUUCAAUAAGAUAUUGAUAAACACCGACAAGUCGUUAAAUAUGGAGGGCGUUUUUGGAUUUGACUGAAGAUUUAACUUUGCUUAUGACGUUACACUGUUCUAAACAUUUCUUGAGAUUUAGGUAAGCUUUUAAUCAUUAACGACUUUUUAGCUUGAAUCAAGUCUUGACCCAUCAGUGUGCCUUGAGCCUAAAAUAAUCAUUAAAUGCCUCAGGCCAAUCUUAUGUCAUAGACGCAUUUUAAGCUUCAAACAAGUUUUAUGUUUCAGGCAAGUUUCUAGCUUCAAACAAAUCUUGAGCCUAAGGUAAGCAAAGAGCCUUAAUCAAGCCUUAUGUCUUAAGUUUUGGACGAGUUUUUAGCUACAAACAAGUUUUAAGCCUUAAGUGAGCCUUGAGCCUUAAGCGAGCCUUAUGUUUAAGUACAGUCCUAAGUUUUAGACGAGUUUUGAACUUAUGUACUAAGUUUUAUAUGAGUUUUUAGCUUCAAACAAAACUUUAGCCUUCAGUGAGCCUUAUUUCUAAGUUCAGUCCUAAGUUUUAGACAAUUUUUUAGUAUCAAACUUUUUAGUCGCCUUGAGGUAGCUUUGAGGUAACCAACAUUUUUUUACGCGGGUCCUUAUAAAUGAAAAUAAUCUUUUAGAAUAAAAACAAUAAGAUUUUUGCAAUAAAAGAUAAAAUAAAAUGUAAAUAAUAUAUUAAUUUUUUUAUCUUUAUUGUCAUAAUCUAUUUUCAAAUUAUCCGAAUUAUAGCUCGCUAUUAAAUCCAUUUCUUAUUGAAAUUUUGACAUUAAGAAGAAUCUGAAGUUGGACACAUAUUUAAACUCAAGUUUCAUAAUCGUAUAAUUGCAAUAAAACUCAUGAUUCAGAUGAAAAUUUAUCAAAAUUCAUAUCAAAUAGUGAAUUUUAU